AUGUGCGUACCUAAAAACCAAGGGGGAAUGGGAUUUCGUGAUAUUCACUGUUUGAACUUGGCUUUGCUUGCCAAGCAGGUGUGGCGUCUUAUUGAUAAACCAACUCUUUGUGUCAUAAUCCUAAGGGCUAAGUACUAUCCGGACGGUGAUUUACUGAACACCAAACUAAAGAAAGGUUCUUCAUUUACAUGGCAAAGUAUUAUGGCCGGGAGGGAGACCCUAAAACGCGGUUACAUUUGGCAAGUGAGGAAUGGUCAAAAUAUUAAUAUUUGGGAAGAUGCCUAG
rnacentral:rRNA from 1 species